rnacentral:rRNA from 1 species
GAUGAACGCUAGCGGGAGGCCUAACACAUGCAAGCCGAGCGGUAGAGUUUCUUCGGAAACUUGAGAGCGGCGCACGGGUGCGUAACACGUGUGCAACCUACCUUUAUCUGGGGGAUAGCCUUUCGAAAGGAAGAUUAAUACCCCAUAAUAUAAUGAUUGGCAUCAAUUAUUAUUGAAAACUCCGGUGGAUAGAGAUGGGCACGCGCAAGAUUAGAUAGUUGGUGAGGUAACGGCUCACCAAGUCAAUGAUCUUUAGGGGUCCUGAGAGGGAGAUCCCCCACACUGGUACUGAGACACGGACCAGACUCCUACGGGAGGCAGCAGUGAGGAAUAUUGGACAAUGGGUGAGAGCCUGAUCCAGCCGUCCCGCGUGAAGGAUGACGGUCCUAUGGAUUGUAAACUUCUUUUGUACAGGGAUAAACCUACCCUCGUGAGGGUAGCUGAAGGUACUGUACGAAUAAGCACCGGCUAACUCCGU